CUCACACACAUUCCACACACACACUAACCUAGCAGCUCCACUAGGUUCGAUUGAGGCAAACAUCUUUGCCACGACGUCUGAUGCCUGGCCACUGUUUGCCCUUUUCAGAUAGUAAUGUUUUUUUUUUUUUUGGACAUGGCCUAUGGCCAACAGAAACGAUCCGACCUAUACAAUCAGAACCCGACCCGACCCGAAGAACUACCCAGAGACCCACCCCUAAACCGACUCCGAUCCUCUCUUCUUCUCCUUGACCGUCGAUUAGAGAUCUUCCAAAGUUUUGAGCCUAUUGUUGCAUGUGGACGAAAACGAGCUCCCAAAUCCUCAUUAGUGGCUUCAAUCGGCCGUAGGUGCUGAGUUCACAAGGUUGUCGAAGCUGCGUCUGCUUUGAGAAGGCUGCCCUUCGUCUUCCAUAGUGGCCAUUUGUGCUUUGCCUGGCUUGAUGCUUCCUUGCUCCAAAGCGUAAGUGGUUCCGUUCUCUCUGGGGUGCUUUGUCCAUUUCUCUAAGAAAAGUCCUACUCUUGCCCUGUGGUGACUCCUGUCUUCAUCUCUCGUGGCACCUUCCAAGUUGCAUUGAGGCUACCAUUGACUUCUACCAAAGGCCCUUCUCCUUGUCUCUGUUAGUUCGUUGUAGUUCCCGGUUUUUGACCCAAUCAAUCCAAAUGCUCGAGUCUGAUCAUUCACUCCAGCUUUUUCACUCUCCCCUGGUUCAACACCCAUUGUCGCAGGUGGAUUGACUAUCCACUGUCUCUGUAAUCCAUUUUCCGCUGCCAACGUUUCCAGUUGGUGAGCCAAGUUGUUUCCGUCUCAUGGAGUCCAGGUAACUCCUACAUCUGGAGCCUCAUUCAGUAGAUGGAGAAUGUCUCUGAUGUUUGCGUCUGCCUCUGCCAAAGAUGUUUUUGCCUUAAUUGCUUGAACCAGAGUCCCUAGCUACCACUGCUGAAGCUGCCAUGCCUGUUUCUCUGUGAAAAGCCGCAUCAGUGUUCACCUUUAACGAAUCCUUGGGCGGAGGCCUCCAGGUGAAAAAGGUGUCAAAAUGGGAAGAAGACAAACAAGAAGCUGGGCGUGUGAGACUGGCAUGUCACUUGGGGGCAAACGCCACAAUUAUGCACUGGCGUGGCACGCCAUGAGCUAAGCGUGGCAUGUCAGUACUAAAUUCCAGAAGGGGGAUCCAAGCAUGAAUGUGGGCGUGGCACGCCAAGGACUAGGUGUGGCACGCUAGUACAAAAUAUCAGAGAGCAAAACGGAGGACACAAAAGGGACGUGGCACGCUAGGUUGGGCGUGGCAUGCCUGACCCCUCAACCUCACUUGGGCGUGCCACUUGGUGUCGAAGGCGUGGCAUGCCAGCUCCAAAAGUUACUUUGGCGUGCCACUUGAAGACCCAGGCGUGGCACGCCAAGCUUGAAGAAUGCACAAAUACAUAGGCGUGCCACUUGAGCAACAUGGCGUGGCACGUUGGUACAAUGAUCCAGAAAAGGGGCUGAAGGCAAAUGAGGACUGGGCGUGCCACUUGGUGUCAAAGGCGUGGCACACCAGUUCCAAAAAGUCACUUUGGCGUGCCACUUGAAGGCCAAGGUGUGGCACGCCACUUAUUGGAGCGAGACAAGACCAUGGGCGUGGCACGCCAACCUUUGGGCGUGGCACACUGGUAUAAGUUUCUAGAGAGGGUGGAAGAGGCCAAGUACAUGGGGCGUUGACAAACCCCAAUUUGACGGUUUGUUUUGCAUUGAAUUUAGAGCAUUUUGAUAACCUUUUGUCACAUUUAGCCUAGGAAUUAGCAUGGUUUUGUUAUCUCUCCCAUAUUUGUGCUUAAGUGUAAAAACAUGCUUUUUAAGCCUUAUUUUGAUGAAUUCUAGUUCCUCUUUGAUUCCAUAAGAUGCCUUGAUGUGUUUGCUAGUAAUUCCAGGAUUGAAAUAGGCUAGGCAUGGAUCAAAGAAAGCAAGGAAGGAAGCAUGCAAGUGGAGAGAAGUACAAAAAGCCAAAGAAUUGAUUUCGGCCAAGCACGCGUACGCGCACAAGGCGCUCGCGCGCACAUUGCGAUACAGGCCAAGGACGCGCACGCGUAUCGUGCGCGCACGCGUCGUAGCCCGCACGUGAUUCUUUUAUUACAACACGUGCCUGGCGAUUUUGGGAGGUUUUAGCAACCAACUUUGGCGCCAAAAUGCAUAUAAGAGCCAAGGAUUGAAGGGGAUUAAGACACAUUUUUUCACAUCCAUAGACUAGGGAGGGAUCAUUAGAUAGAGUUUUAGUUAGAAGAUUAGUUUUAGAGUUUUAGAGAGAGAGGCUCUCUCUUCUCUCUAGAAUUAGGAUUAGGUUUAGUUCUUAGAUCUAGGUUUUAAUCUUUGCUUUCUUCUACUUCUACAUCUCAAUUCCUUGUAGUUACAUUGAUUCUUCUUCCAUUCUUUUGUUAUAAUCUCUCUUAUGUUGUUCUUGUAUUUUGUU